GGUUAAGCGACUAAGCGUACACGGUGGAUGCCCUGGCAGUCAGAGGCGAUGAAGGACGUGCUAAUCUGCGAUAAGCGUCGGUAAGGUGAUAUGAACCGUUAUAACCGGCGAUUUCCGAAUGGGGAAACCCAGUGUGAUUCGUCACACUAUCAUUAACUGAAUCCAUAGGUUAAUGAGGCGAACCGGGGGAACUGAAACAUCUAAGUACCCCGAGGAAAAGAAAUCAACCGAGAUUCCCCCAGUAGCGGCGAGCGAACGGGGAGCAGCCCAGAGCCUGAAUCAGUGUGUGUGUUAGUGGAAGCGUCUGGAAAGGCGUGCGAUACAGGGUGACAGCCCCGUACACAAAAAUGCACAUACUGUGAGCUCGAUGAGUAGGGCGGGACACGUGGUAUCCUGUCUGAAUAUGGGGGGACCAUCCUCCAAGGCUAAAUACUCCUGACUGACCGAUAGUGAACCAGUACCGUGAGGGAAAGGCGAAAAGAACCCCGGCGAGGGGAGUGAAAAAGAACCUGAAACCGUGUACGUACAAGCAGUGGGAGCACGCUUAGGCGUGUGACUGCGUACCUUUUGUAUAAUGGGUCAGCGACUUAUAUUCUGUAGCAAGGUUAACCGAAUAGGGGAGCCGAAGGGAAACCGAGUCUUAACUGGGCGUUAAGUUGCAGGGUAUAGACCCGAAACCCGGUGAUCUAGCCAUGGGCAGGUUGAAGGUUGGGUAACACUAACUGGAGGACCGAACCGACUAAUGUUGAAAAAUUAGCGGAUGACUUGUGGCUGGGGGUGAAAGGCCAAUCAAACCGGGAGAUAGCUGGUUCUCCCCGAAAGCUAUUUAGGUAGCGCCUCGUGAAUUCAUCUCCGGGGUAGAGCACUGUUUCGGCAAGGGGGUCAUCCCGACUUACCAACCCGAUGCAAACUGCGAAUACCGGAGAAUGUUAUCACGGGAGACACACGGCGGGUGCUAACGUCCGUCGUGAAGAGGGAAACAACCCAGACCGCCAGCUAAGGUCCCAAAGUCAUGGUUAAGUGGGAAACGAUGUGGGAAGGCCCAGACAGCCAGGAUGUUGGCUUAGAAGCAGCCAUCAUUUAAAGAAAGCGUAAUAGCUCACUGGUCGAGUCGGCCUGCGCGGAAGAUGUAACGGGGCUAAACCAUGCACCGAAGCUGCGGCAGCGACGCUUAUGCGUUGUUGGGUAGGGGAGCGUUCUGUAAGCCUGUGAAGGUGUGCUGUGAGGUAUGCUGGAGGUAUCAGAAGUGCGAAUGCUGACAUAAGUAACGAUAAAGCGGGUGAAAAGCCCGCUCGCCGGAAGACCAAGGGUUCCUGUCCAACGUUAAUCGGGGCAGGGUGAGUCGACCCCUAAGGCGAGGCCGAAAGGCGUAGUCGAUGGGAAACAGGUUAAUAUUCCUGUACUUGGUGUUACUGCGAAGGGGGACGGAGAAGGCUAUGUUGGCCGGGCGACGGUUGUCCCGGUUUAAGCGUGUAGGCUGGUUUUCCAGGCAAAUCCGGAAAAUCAAGGCCGAGGCGUGAUGACGAGGCACUACGGUGCUGAAGCAACAAAUGCCCUGCUUCCAGGAAAGCCUCUAAGCAUCAGGUAACAUCAAAUCGUACCCCAAACCGACACAGGUGGUCAGGUAGAGAAUACCAAGGCGCUUGAGAGAACUCGGGUGAAGGAACUAGGCAAAAUGGUGCCGUAACUUCGGGAGAAGGCACGCUGAUACGUAGGUGAAGCGACUUGCUCGUGGAGCUGAAAUCAGUCGAAGAUACCAGCUGGCUGCAACUGUUUAUUAAAAACACAGCACUGUGCAAACACGAAAGUGGACGUAUACGGUGUGACGCCUGCCCGGUGCCGGAAGGUUAAUUGAUGGGGUUAGCGCAAGCGAAGCUCUUGAUCGAAGCCCCGGUAAACGGCGGCCGUAACUAUAACGGUCCUAAGGUAGCGAAAUUCCUUGUCGGGUAAGUUCCGACCUGCACGAAUGGCGUAAUGAUGGCCAGGCUGUCUCCACCCGAGACUCAGUGAAAUUGAACUCGCUGUGAAGAUGCAGUGUACCCGCGGCAAGACGGAAAGACCCCGUGAACCUUUACUAUAGCUUGACACUGAACAUUGAGCCUUGAUGUGUAGGAUAGGUGGGAGGCUUUGAAGUGUGGACGCCAGUCUGCAUGGAGCCGACCUUGAAAUACCACCCUUUAAUGUUUGAUGUUCUAACGUGGACCCGUGAUCCGGGUUGCGGACAGUGUCUGGUGGGUAGUUUGACUGGGGCGGUCUCCUCCUAAAGAGUAACGGAGGAGCACGAAGGUUGGCUAAUCCUGGUCGGACAUCAGGAGGUUAGUGCAAUGGCAUAAGCCAGCUUGACUGCGAGCGUGACGGCGCGAGCAGGUGCGAAAGCAGGUCAUAGUGAUCCGGUGGUUCUGAAUGGAAGGGCCAUCGCUCAACGGAUAAAAGGUACUCCGGGGAUAACAGGCUGAUACCGCCCAAGAGUUCAUAUCGACGGCGGUGUUUGGCACCUCGAUGUCGGCUCAUCACAUCCUGGGGCUGAAGUAGGUCCCAAGGGUAUGGCUGUUCGCCAUUUAAAGUGGUACGCGAGCUGGGUUUAGAACGUCGUGAGACAGUUCGGUCCCUAUCUGCCGUGGGCGCUGGAGAACUGAGGGGGCUGCUCCUAGUACGAGAGGACCGGAGUGGACGCAUCACUGGUGUUCGGGUUGUCAUGCCAAUGGCACUGCCCGGUAGCUAAAUGCGGAAGAGAUAAGUGCUGAAAGCAUCUAAGCACGAAACUUGCCCCGAGAUGAGUUCUCCCUGACCCUUUAAGGGUCCUGAAGGAACGUUGAAGACGACGACGUUGAUAGGCCGGGUGUGUAAGCGCAGCGAUGCGUUGAGCUAACCGGUACUAAUGAACCGUGAGGCUUAACCUU
rnacentral:rRNA from 1 species